GGUCAGGGUGUUUGGGGAUGUUGGUACAGAAGAAGAACAGUUAUGUCUGCCUCGAAUUUACCAGACAGAGCAGGAGGAACGUACUGAAUAUCAAGAAUACUUCAGAGGAUCCUGGAGCAGAGAUGGUACCUCCACAUAACACAGUGCACCUUGAUGAUAUUAGCAUCCACUGCCAAUAAGCAUAAAGAUUCAAACCAACAAGAUAGAAGAGGGAGCAGAAAU